rnacentral:lncRNA from 10 species
GCCUCCCGCGUAGCUGGGACUCACUGCACGCUCCGCCUCCCGGGUUCACGCGAUUCUCCCGCCUCAGCCUCCCGCGUAGCUGGGACUCACUGCAGGCUCCGCCUCCCGGGUUCACGCGAUUCUCCCGCCUCAGGCUCCCGCGCAGCUGGGAUUACUCUCGCGAGCCCCCGCGCCCGGCUAGUUUUUGUGCUUUUAGUAGAGACGGCGUUUCACCAUGUUAGCCAAGAUGGUCUAGAUCUCUUGACCUCGUGAUCCUCCCACCCACAGUGCUGGGAUUACAGGAGUAAGCCACUGCGCCCGACCGGCCACAUUUGUUUUUUUUUUUUUUUUACUGGGAGAAGAAAGGGUUGAGGCCCUGGGAUUUAAGGAGUCGAGUGCAUAUCCUACAAGCACCUGUGAAGACAAGUCUGGAGUGGGAAGGCCCCAUGGAUCCGGGGUAAACAGAGAAAUCUUUAGGUGACAGCAUUUACCAGGAGGAAAUGGGGAAGGGAGACAUCUAGAAAUGUCACUAAAGACAAAAGAUUAUACUCACCCUAUUUUCCGCAUGAAGGAAUACAGUCUCACAAAUAAACCAUCGCUUUUUGAGAUGUGGCAGAGAAACAGCAUUCUCAGUCUACCACUCCCUCAGAGGACUCCAGGAGGAUGUGGAAUUGAUGCAUCAUCCCAGAAGCACUCUAAAGACUACCCAGCAGGACUUUCCAACAGCCAGAGUGGACAUCCUAUAAAGCCUCGCUUCCCAUCUGGGUCACAAAAAGAUGGAAGAGACUCAGUGCUGUCUGAAAAACUGUGCAGCUCCUGAAAUCCGUCCAGGAUCCUGCAUCCUCUCUCCCAUCUGGAAUCAUCAGCCCAGUGAUUUUUCCGAGCAUCACAUUGUUUACCAACUAUGAAUCCUUCAGGUAUGCCUGGUAUCCUCGACCCACAAAACCUUGAUGU